rnacentral:rRNA from 1 species
AUGAUCGUGAGUAGAUCGGAGGGGAGGUUCAGCCAGUCCGGUUGUUCCUUCUGGGCCGCCAUUGCUCGUUCGUCGAUUCGGGCCAAGAUCAACGCAAGGCACGACGGCCGGUGUGGAACAAGAUCGAGCGAUACACACGCACCAAGUUGGUUAACGCGACAUCCUUUUUUCAGCGAGGAAGUGGCUAACGCCAUCCUGCAGAUCCCAAUAAAUUUGGAUGGUGGAGCUGACUAUGUUCGCUGGCCUUUCACUAAGUACGGCGAUUACACUGUCCGCUCUGCAUAUAACUUGGCAAGGACGAGCCGUUUUGUUGCGUAUCGGAGCUGCAAUGGGUUGGGUCAGCAUUCCGGUUGGUCCUCGGAGGAGAAACUGUGGAAGAAACUGUGGAAAAUCAAAGUGCCGAAUAAGAUGAAGGUGGUGCUGUGGAGGUUUGCGCAUGAUUGUCUGCCCUCGGGCGAGCAACUUCGCCGGCGUCAGGUCCCAACGAGGACUGACUGCUAUUUCUGUGGUCGUCACGAAAGUAUCGAGCAUACGAUGCUUUUUUGCCCCCAUGCUCGGGCUGUCUGGGAUGAGGUGAAGGCUUGUCUCUCUGUCAAGCUGUGUCGCUCAUCUUUUGCGAAUCCAAAGCAAUGGUUGUUCAGUUUCCUGUCCCGUGCCUCUGAGCACGAAGCCUCCAUCAUGACGGUCGCCUUUUGGCAUAUCUGGGAAGCUCGUAAUGUGGCGCGGAAUGAACCUGAUGCUCCUCCUCCUAAGCGUACAGCAGCGAAGGUGCGUGCUUAUAUGGACAUGAUCUUCCAACAUCUUUUCAAACCGGACUCUGCAUCUAAGUGUGUGGCUCCAGCUUCUGUCUCUUCGUCGCCUCUGCCGCCGCUUGGUACUUUGCUUGUGUCUGCUGAUGCAGCUGUUGCCCCGUCCGGUAUUUUGGCCGCUGCUGGAGUUGUCGUUCUAGACCACACGGGCAUGUGUGUUGCUGCUGCUUCUGAACCCCUCCCGGGUGUUUCUUCUCCUGAAGUGGCGGAGGCUCUUGCCCUUCGCUGCGCGGCCAGGUUGGUCAGAGACGAGAGUUAUGCUAAUGUGAUCUUUCAAUCGGAUUGUCUCUCGGUGAUUCAACGGCUAAACUCUUCGGUCCGGGACCGCUCCACCGUCGGUUCCUUUGUUGCUGAAAUCAAGUCGGCAUGUGGGGCUCUAUCUUCUGUGACUUUCAAGCAUGUUCGUUGGCAUCGUAAUGUGUUAGCUCAUGUUUUGGCUCGGUCUAGUCUAAACUCUGUAAAUCCUUGUAUUUUUCAUUCUGCUCCGGGAGACCUUGUGUAA